AUGAUGCUGUACUUCCUGACAACAGAACCCACAACAACCAUGACUUUUAUCACCAUCUUCAUCUGGACACUUGCUCUCUGCUUCAAGGAAUCCAGAGGACAGUAUGUUGUGACACAGACUCCGGCAGUGAAAGCUGUUCUCCCAGGACAGACAGUCUCUCUGAACUGUAAAACCAGCAGUGAUGUGUAUUCUAAUAAUUGCCUAGCCUGGUACCAACAGAAAUCUGGAGGAGCUCCUAAACUCCUUAUUUACUAUGCUACAACACUUCAGUCUGGGACUCCAUCUAGAUUCAGUGGUAGUGGAUCUGGGAGUGACUUCACUCUGAGCAUCAGUGGAGUCCAGGCUGAAGAUGCAGGAGAUUACUACUGUCAGAGUUACCACAGCAGUGGUAAUGUGUUCCCACAGUGAUACAGAGACAUACAAAAACCUCCCUCAGUCAGACUGUACAGUGACAGUACUGAUACAGCUGGGACCUACUGCAGGUGCUGAGGGGAGGAGAUGGUCCAGUACAAUGACACAGUGUGUAGUAGAGCUAAACAACUCUAACUAGUUCUAAUAACUCUAAGCUGUUAGGUCAUAUUCAGUCAUUAUCCCAUGUGUUCCUUAUUGCAUUUUUACUCAUUUUUUAUUGAGUAUCUCAUGGAGAACCAUGAACCCAUUUAUCUUCAAAAAGGUUCAAAUCUUCCAAAACAUACUUCCUUACUUCAGACCAUUUGGAUAUUGUAUUCUUAAGAUGUAGAAGAGAUGCUGAGUUUCAUGUAUUGUAAUUAUGGUCUACAAAGUCCCAGUGUGUCUGAUCAGAAACACAGGAGAGGGGGGAGGGAGCUGAACUCAGGAACAGAGCAAUGACCGAAUAUUAUUCUUGCACAUUGGAGCCCCUCUUCUCACAGUGUUAGUCCAACAGUCCAGUAGUCCAGUAUUUACAAUAUUAAAUUGCUUGGUGGGUGUUUA